rnacentral:rRNA from 1 species
AGCGAACGCUGGCGGCAGGCCUAACACAUGCAAGUCGAACGAACUCUUCGGAGUUAGUGGCGGACGGGUGAGUAACACGUGGGAACGUGCCUUUUGGUUCGGAAUAACUCAGGGAAACUUGUGCUAAUACCGAAUGUGCCCUUCGGGGGAAAGAUUUAUCGCCAUUAGAGCGGCCCGCGUCUGAUUAGCUAGUUGGUGAGGUAACGGCUCACCAAGGCGACGAUCAGUAGCUGGUCUGAGAGGAUGACCAGCCACACUGGGACUGAGACACGGCCCAGACUCCUAGGGGAGGCAGCAGUGGGGAAUCUUGCGCAAUGGGCGAAAGCCUGACGCAGCCAUGCCGCGUGAAUGAUGAAGGUCUUAGGAUUGUAAAAUUCUUUCACCGGGGACGAUAAUGACGGUACCCGGAGAAGAAGCCCCGGCUAACUUCGUG